GCUAUGCACAUUUCCCAGGGCACAGCAAAGAAAAUGCCUGAGAUACUUAGGUCAGCAGUGUUAUCUUAGAUAACAGCAUAAAACAGGGUGAAUUCUGCAAAACCAAUCAAAUUUAUCCUGCAUGUACCAUGAAAAAGAAGGACUAUGUCAGUUCUAUCUGUUUGGCAUUCUCUGUGUUUUGUUUUGUUUUGUUUUGUUUUCUUCUUUAUUUCUGUAAAAGUUUUUUUAAAACAACUGUAUUACUUAAUUCAAACAGCCAUAGGCUUUUGCUCAAACUGAAAUCCAUCACGACAGUUCGGUGGACAUAUGUUUAGGCAUAUAUUACGCGUUAUGUAAUCUUACACCAGUAAAGCUUCUUUCAUGUUAAAGUGCAUUAAUACCCAUCAGCCAUAAUUGGUUUUGGCCUAUCUGGGUGGUAUUUGCAGGGAAUGAGCUCUUCACAGGCUCUGCAGCUUGGGUGCCAGCACGGAGGCUGCCCGGACAGCCAUCAGAGCAGUGCUCUGUCAGCUGAAGGAGCACGGCCAGACACAUGAGAGGGAGGCAAGGCCGUACCUGCUACUCUCUCGCGGUGUGAAGUAGCUGUCAGGCCCGAGGCACGCUUUUUCAUUUUGGAAGCAAAGGCAUUAUACUGUCUGUUUCUGUCCUAUGCAGGCAAAUUCAACUGCGUCUUGGCGCUUGCUUCCUGCAGGCUGUCAUAAUCAGGACAAGUCAAGCAGAGCGCAUUGUGCAAGGAAGACACUUCCUCCUGUUUUCAUGACUGCACUUCAAAUAUUUGACUCGUUUACUGUUUAUCCUGGCUACCUAUACUUGAUACUUUAUUUCCCCCUUUGCUGCCCAAAAUCCCAGUAACUUGUCAAUGUGAAGAAUGACCACGGCUACUCAGGAUGCCAGCUGAUAUAAAUUAACCUUGAUUUCAUGGCAACUACGAUUUUUUACAGGGGUGAAUCAGAAGGUCCCAGUUUUCACCAGUGCUCAGAAUCACAUCCUAACAGAAACUGGGGACAAAACUCUUGCCAAUUUCACUGAAAUUACAUAGGGAGGGGGAAAGUUUUGAAAGCAAAUCUUAUAGAGAAAUUCAAAGUGCUGUAUGACAAAAUAUUUGGAAAUGUGUGUUGUUUCUGAUUAUACCACAUGUAAAGUUGUCUGAUUUGCUGACCACCAUCACUUCCAGAUUCUUUGCUUUACUACAGAUUUUUGUGCUUUUUCUCUUAAUAAAAUAACGUCUUGUUUAACUUAAAACA
rnacentral:lncRNA from 1 species